rnacentral:rRNA from 1 species
UACGGGGGGAGCAAGCGUUGUUCGGAUUUACUGGGCGUAAAGGGCGCGUAGGCGGCCUCUGCAAGUCGACUGUGAAAUCUCCGGGCUUAACCCGGAAAGGUCAGCCGAUACUGCAGGGCUAGAGUGCAGAAGGGGCAACUGGAAUUCUCGGUGUAGCGGUGAAAUGCGUAGAUAUCGAGAGGAACACCUGCGGCGAAGGCAGGUGGCUGGGCCGACACUGACGCUGAGGCGCGAAAGCUAGGGGAGCGAACGGG